rnacentral:rRNA from 1 species
UACGGAGGAUCCAAGCGUUAUCCGGAAUCAUUGGGUUUAAAGGGUCCGUAGGUGGACGAUUAAGUCAGAGGUGAAAUCCUGCAGCUCAACUGUAGAAUUGCCUUUGAUACUGGUUGUCUUGAAUCAUUGUGAAGUGGUUAGAAUAUGUGGUGUAGCGGUGAAAUGCAUAGAUAUCACAUAGAAUACCGAUUGCGAAGGCAGAUCACUAACAAUGCAUUGACACUGAUGGACGAAAGCGUGGGGAGCGAACGGG